rnacentral:rRNA from 1 species
GGUCACUGCUAUUGAGAUUCGACUAAGCCAUGCGAGUCGAGAGGGUUCGGCCCUCGGCAGACGGCUCAGUAACACGUGGAUAAUCUGCCCUUAGGUGGAGGAUAACCUCGGGAAACUGAGAAUAAUACUCCAUAGAUCUAGGAUGCUGGAAUGCACUUAGAUUGAAAGUUCCGGCGCCUAAGGAUGAGUCUGCGGACUAUCAGGUAGUAGUCAGGGUAAAGGCCUGACUAGCCUACGACGGAUACGGGUUGUGAGAGCAAUAACCCGGAGACGAUAUCUGAGACACGAUAUCGGGCCCUACGGGGCGCAGCAGGCGCGAAACCUUCACAAUGUGCGAAAGCACGAUGAGGGGAUCCCAAGUGCUUGCUCGUAAGAGUAAGCUGUUUUUAUGUCUAAAACGCAUAGAGAGUAAGGGCUGGGUAAGACGGGUGCCAGCCGCCGCGGUAAUACCUGCAGCUCAAGUGGUGACCGCUAUUAUUGGGCCUAAAACGUUCGUAGCCGGUUUGGUAAGUGCCUGGGUAAAUCGUGUAGCUUAACUAUACGAAUUCCGGGUAGACUGCCAGACUUGAGACCGGGAGAAGCUAGAGGUACUCCUUGGGUAGAGGUGAAAUUCUGUAAUCCUAGGGGGACCACCAGUGGCGAAGGCGUCUAGCUAGAACGGGUUUGACGGUGAGGAACGAAGCCCUGGGGCGCGAACCGGAUUAGAUACCCGGGUAGUCCAGGGUGUAAACGCUGCUUGCUUGAUGUUAGUUGGGCUCCGAGCCCAAUUAGUGUCGGAGAGAAGUUGUUAAGCAAGCUGCCUGGGAAGUACGAUCGCGAGAUUGAAACUUAA